GAGAUCCCUCCUCCUGGUGUUUUGUGGUGUGCCUAGCAUAAGGACUCUGAGCAACGCCUAAGUUGCCUGUGAAGUUGCACAGUUCAUCAAAUCUUUUCUUCAGCCUCCCACUUUUUGCUGAAAUACUUACUGAUUCCCAGUUACUUCUGCCUCUGAUCAGCUACUUACCAAUAGCCACACACCAACACAGCUAAAGAAGCAAUGCAUGUAGGAUUACGGAUGCUGGAACCUUAAAAUGCUGCUGAUAAAAAAAAAAAAACUUUGUAAAGAAUGUUGCAGUGGUUUUUCAGCACUUGUUGAGAAAAAUUGUUUGGGUGGUAUUUUCCAUAUGGAGGAAUGUGGAGAUUAAAGAUUUAAGUUAAUCCUUUCAGAUGAGAAUUCAUUUCCCCUCUUCAUUUCCCAUUAAAAAUCAUUGGACUCUGUUUUCCUCUGUGACUGUGGGAAGUAUCAGUGUUCACAGCUAUUACAUUAAGUUUUCUGUUCUGUGCCUUUUUUGUUUGUUUAGAUAUUUUCUGUUGAAUAACACUUUUGUCCUUAUUGGAAAGAAAAGAAAUUUUGAAAAGCUUACUUUCUAUGCCUCUAGUAUCCAUAAAUCAGAGAAGCUGGUAAGUUUUUUUCCAUGCUAUUAAAAAAAGACCUUUCUCCUCAAAUGCCAAUUUCUCAGUUUGUGGUAGAUUAUUCUAUAUGUAUAUAUUUAACAGUGUAUUUCUCAAUGGAAAAAGGCCUCCAAUCUCCUGCAGAUAUCACUAGUACAAAUCCAGAAAGAGAGGACUAUGUAUCCUAUACGACUUGGUUGAUAAUACAGAAUUAAUCAUUACUCUCCUUUUCUCUUUUAUAAAAUAAUUUUCAUUGAGAAUGAAAAGUUCCUCAUAAAAGAAAUGUUACUUACAAAAGGAAUGAGAAAUUUUUGGGAAAAUGUGCUGUUGAAAUAGGAAAGUACAAAAACUGCUCUGAAAGUAAUGCUUCUUAUUUUAUCAUGUUGGCCCUCAGCAUCAGAGGCAGACACUUGUGGUAUGGCAAUUAAGGUUGCCAUACCAGCAGUAUACCACUAUGUUUUGUUGCUGUGUGACAGAUGGCAGCACAGAGGCAGUACGACAGAAUGGUCUCUGACAUGAAAACGCAUAUGAAAGCAAAAAGUGUGUCACUUAAUUCCUCCAUGCGGAAACAAUGGCACCCACUGAUGUUCACUGAUGCUUGCUGAACAUAUAUGGAGUCCAAAUAGUGGAUGUGAGCACAGUGAGGCACUGGGUGGUGUGUUUCAGCAGUGGUGACAGCAAUGUGAAAGGCAAGCAUGUUCUGGACAUGGUUGAGUGGGGUCUUGCAGCCAGCCAGUAUCAACUCACGCCAACUGAUCAAUAAAUAAAAAAGAAAAUCUAGAUAACCAAUGCAUAUUGUAAUGUCUGUGCUCUAGAAAUCUGACAUGAUAUCAGAGUGUCUCAUCUUCUGAAUCCUUUCUUCAUGUAUCUGAGUGAGACACUGGAAAGAAUAUGAACACAGUGCUCCUGUUGUUUUCUCCUCCCGGUAGUCAUCUCAGGAUUCUGUAGAAUGCAAACAUCCAAUACAUGAAAGAAAGCCAAGCACGAUGAUGUCUGUGAAAGAUGCAAAAGCUAACUAAAGGAAUUGAAAGCCAGACUGGCUUUGCUUAGAUUUCUUAGUAUCUUUUUCUGAAGUUUGUUAAUCACUUACUGCCAAUGGUAUUUCUGCUACAAGAAGAAAUGUAAACUUAACAAAUUGAAAGAGAAUUGUUCUCUUACAAGUGAGCUUAUGUGUUUUGAAUUAUUCUACAUAAAUGGCUAUCAGUAUAGUCCAAAUUGAAAUGACCUUUGCUUUCAUGAUGUUCAUCUACAAAACACAUGUGGAAUGAUGAAGAUUACACUUCAAUUAUGUUUUACAAUGUUGAUCAUGAAAACUUUAUUGUAAUUGUUAUGUCGGAUGAUUUCCAAGAAUGUGAUUCUGACUCAGGACAAUGAUGCCAGCUGCAGAAAGCCAGAACCCUGCCAAAAAUGUCACUUUGCAUUUCUUUUCUAAAAUUUGGGUUCUUGCAUCCUGAUAGCUUCAUGUCAGCAGGCCUAGCACAGGAGCAUGCCUUUCCACAUUAGCUGUUAUGAAAUUGGUUGAAUGAGGACGAAUUUCAUUUAUUUAUUUUUGUCUGGAACAGUUAAAA